AUUUAUAUAUUAUAUCAUAAUUUUUAUUAGAAAUCAUGUGUAGAUUUGGAAACAGACUUCAUUAACAGCCUUCUUGCACCAUUGAUUUAAUCAUUAUUAUUAUUAUUAUUAUUAUUAUUAUUAUUAUUACUCCAUUCAGCCACAUACAUACAGACACCCAUACCUCCCAUGUUUCCUUCAGCAGCCGCCAUUACCCCCUUACCCUCCUAACUCCUUCACAUCGGUAACACACACAAACCCACACAUACUGAGACAGAGAGAAAAGAAAGAAAAGAGAGAAAAGAGGGCUGAACGGAGAAGAAGGAAGGGAGGGGGACGACCACCGCCGACGCGUCUUGCCAUAGCCACCGCCACCGAGCUGCCGGACCGAGCUAAGAAGGAGAAGAGGCCGCUGUUGUCAUCGAGCUUGCUGUCGUCCAUAGCCGCCGCCGUUGUGCUCCAGCUCGUUGCCACCAUCGCAGACCGCCGCUGCCACCGCGCCACUCAUCGCCGUCGCAAGGAAGACCAGGACCGAGGGAGAGAGCCGCGCGAGGAGUCGCCGUCGCCGCCGUUCGCGAGAGAGAGAGAGAGAGACGCGCUGCACGGGAGUUGCCGUCGUGGGGUGUGUUGCCGUUGAGAAGCUGUCGCCGCCAGAUCCGCCGUUGUCAGAGCUUCUGUCCGAGUCCUGCCGCCGGAGAACACCUCUGCCGCCACUAAGAUCUGCCGCCGUCGCCGUUGCCGGAGUUCUGGUCGUCGCCGCCGUUCGAGGUAGCUGCCGGAGCUGCCGCCAAACCGGUUCAGCGACCAUCGUUGUUUCAUUUUCUUAGUUCGGGUCGUGUUUUGAGCGUUGCAUGUCGCUCUUAAGUUGCUGUGAGUGCUGCGAAAGUGAUCAGGGACUGAGUUUGUGGUUGCUGUUGGUUUCGGGUUAGAGAAAUGGUUUUGUUGACGCAUUUUGAGUUAUGGUUUCGACGAGUCAAGGUAGGGGUUUUUCUUAAAAUCUAAUUUAUAUUACAGAGUUGUGGUAAAUAGAUAUUAAUGUGAGAGAACAUAUGCCUGUGAUUAUAAUUGUCUUCUAAAUGUGGUUGUUUGCUGGACUGAAUGACUGAUUGCUUGAUUACUUGAGUAGUUUGUGAUUGCUGAAAAGAGAUUAGCUUGAAAGGUUAUUUAGUUGAUUAUUAUGAAAAAUGGCUUUUCUUGGUUUUGAAGCUAUUUUUGGUGAUGUAAAGGAAUUGGCUUUGGAAAUGGUUUAAUUUUGAGUUAGUGACUUUAUAAAUGAUUUUAUAAAUGAUUUAGUAUUUGAGCUGGUUUGAUUUUAAAAAGAGAUUUAUUAUGGGCACUGAUUCGCUUUGAAAAUAAUUUGAUAUUGGAACUAGCUGAAUCUUGGAAAAUGAUUGAGAUUUGAGAAAAGGUUUGAGAAAUGUUUGGAUGGGACCCGAAAAGGGUGGCAGUGUCCGAGUUUUAGAGGAGAUGCUGUCGAAAUUUUAUAAAAUUGGAAGUUUUAUUUAAAGUAACUAAUUAAAAAGAUUUGUUUUUAAGCAUUAUACGUUUUAAGAUUGAUUUGCCUAUCAAAGAAAGAAUUUUGUUUUGGAAUUGAGAUUGUUAACGAACAGAAUGAAAAAGAGGAUGGUGAGGAUUUUAUUUGAAAUAUGGCUUUGAAAUGAACUUGGAAAUGAGAUUUGGAUUGAUGAAUGAUUAUGAUGUUGAGAAUGUUGAGAUGUGAACUUUAAAUUAUUCAUAUGGCUUAUGAAUUUGAAAUAUCUGAGAUACGAGGUUCCCUGGAUUAAGUGCCGUGGUUUGCCACCACGUGUACCAGGUUGAAAACUCGAUACUCUGUUGACCCUACGAUGUAAGUGGGUGACCGGGCACUAUAUAAAUUCCCGAGAAUGUUACCCCCAUUGAGUAAUAUUGAUUAUUUGAGAAAAAGCUAUGCAUAGACUCUUGGGGAUGCACGUCGGGGGACAGUCUAAGUACAAUUCAGACUUGUCGGGUUGGCUGGAUAACCGACAGAUGAGCCUCAUCAGCCGUAGGACAGGCAUGCAUCAUAUGCAUUCGUAUGCUUUGCUUGAGUUUGAAUAUGUUUUGGUUUGCCUAAUUGCUAAACUGCUCGUAACUGCUACUUGAACUAUUUGCUGUAACUGCUGCCUACUUGUGUUUUCCUUGUCUGUCUUGCCUGUGUUUGUCUUGGUGUGCUACAUUUGAGAAUGAACUUUGGUACUGAAUUAAUGAUUGUGUUGUUUGAUUGCGUGGUUGGUUUUUGAUUGAGAUUUUCUUAUAAAAAAGGAAAGUAUUUCGAAUUUCUGAAAGAUUAAACAUUGUUUCUUUGAAAAGGUUGUGAACGAUUACCUAUUGGUUUUUAAAAGAUUCAUAAGGCAAUAAUAAUCACUGAGCUUGAAAACAGUUUUCUUGUUAAAUAUCUUCUUAUGACAACUUUGAAACUCCGUGGUGAGACCGUGUGGUUAGGUUCUCACCCCCUACAGCUUUACCUUUUCAGGAACCGGAUGAAGAAGUAUUAAGAAGAGUUAUACUGCAUUUGGUUUAUAUGCUGUUGUAUUAUUUAGAUUAUUUUCUUCCCUCGUCUUUGUUAUUACAAGUUUGUAAGAGGGAUAGGAAUUGUAUGUUUUAUAUUUUCUAAUAUGUUGAGUUAUUAUGUAAGGAGUCUUUUAUAUGAAUCUAUGUCUGUUUGUUUGUUUUUUUAAGAUAAAGUAUUUACUUCCGAUGUUCAAAGAAAUCAGCGAUACAGUGUCGAGUCACAGGCUCCUAUUUUAGUAUUUAAUAUAUAAAGUAGUCGUAAUACUUUUUGCUAUCAGAGUAGCGCAGCCGGAAGCGUGACUUCUAAUAGUGAGGGUGUUACACAUCACAUGGUUAAUACUUGGUUCCGUUGGAAGCACUUGGCUUUCAUUUCUCUUUGGUUUCGGACCAAGCUUGGAAACAUUCAUCACUUGUGAGACUUGGGCUUGUAGUGUUGAGAUUAAAGCUGGCCCAAUUAGUUAACAUUUGCUUUCCUGAUGAGUUGUGUAGCGGAUCAAGCAUAGGAAGCAAACAAAAAAGCAUUUGGUUAGGCUUGCAACAUUAAUAUUUAUUCUGGCCCAAUUAUAACUAGCUUCAAUUAUAAACACACAGCUGAACCAAUAAUGCAACAGUUGGGCUUUGUUAAUUUUCUUUUGUUUCGGCCCAACAAAAUCUGCACAACAAAAUUAUUAAUUAAGCACAUAUGAGUUAAGAUCGAAUUAAUAAUUUUGUAAUCUUAAUAUUUUAAUAAUGUUUAUUCAUCAUCAAAAUUUAACAAGAGUUUUUCAAACUCAUCA